UGUAUAUCGUUCUAAUGUUAGGUUAUUAGUUAGUGUAAGAGAUAUAGAUUUACCUUUUGAUUCUUUGAUGAAUGGAUUUGAACUCGUUCCUUCGAAUGUGCAGUACAUAUCCCCACCGCAGUAGUGAUUGGUCCAACGCUCCUCCGCUGAUAGACACGCAACUAUACCGCUAUAUCGAAGGCACCAUCAGGGACGCAGGAUGGAAAACGCAAAACGUCCGAGGUUCAUCGUUCAAAUGAAAAAUGGGAAAGCUGUAUUGUUCACCGAUCAAUCAAGCACCCUCUACUCCGCCAGUUGAAAUAAACUCCUAUCAUCAUUUACAUCCGGAUAUUUUGGAAAAUUUAUCCUCGUGCUCAGAUAAAACACAAACAUACGAAGAACAUAAAGAAAAUUUCAUCCAAACACCGAGCACCUCACGACAAAACUUGCAAACAAACCCACUUCCGAUGCAAAAAUCCUGUUCAACACAAACCAAUAGACAACCUGAAGGACUUUAUUUAUGGAACGAAAUUAUCAACAAACUGGACUUAAUACAACAGGAGCAAAGACAGCAAGCAGAGAUAUCAAAAAGAGAGAGAGAGAGAGAUCGACUGCCAAACCGAGUGGUUGUGCCUUCCUUGUGCUCCUGAUUUUUGAUGCUGUUUUGCCGUGUUACUGCCUGAUUUUCAACAUUUGCAACAUUGGUGCUGCUGAGUUGCUUGUACUGGCUAGUGCGUGCCUUCGAUUGUUAUCAAGUUGCACUUGAGUUCUUGCACCUAGUCUCCUGUUAUUUCGUCAGUUUUGUCGAGAUAUUGUUUGGCUUCGUUCCUGCUCCUGUCACUCAUCAGUUUGUGCUGUGUCAUCGUUAUGCAGUGCUCAACCUGAAAUGCACCCACCGAUAGUGCAAAUUCGGUGUCCUGCGCCGGUGUGUGUGGUUCCAAGCAUCAUACCCAUUGCACGGGUUUGUCCCGUGAUUCUACUCGUGAGCUUGGGCGGAAUAAUCAAUUGUUGUGGUUGUGCAAAAAUUGUAACGAGUUUCGCAAUGG